rnacentral:rRNA from 1 species
UACGGAGGGUGCAAGCGUUAUCCGGAUUCACUGGGUUUAAAGGGUGCGUAGGUGGAUUAGUAAGUCAGUGGUGAAAUCUCCGGGCUUAACCCGGAAACUGCCAUUGAUACUAUUAGUCUUGAAUACCGUGGAGGUCAGCGGAAUAUGUCAUGUAGCGGUGAAAUGCUUAGAUAUGACAUAGAACACCAAUUGCGAAGGCAGCUGGCUACACGAAUAUUGACGCUGAGGUGCGAAAGCGUGGGGAGCAAACAGG